UAAGUUUUAGAGCCAGGUCUUACUGGAUUCUCAAACUUAUGCAUUUUCCACAAUACCACACUCACUAUGGGCCAUCUCCCACCUGGAUUUAUGCAAAAGCCUUCCUAACUGGUAUAUCUCUCACCUCCUCCAUCCUUCAUCCAAUAUGUAGCCCAAGCAAUAGUUCAAAAAUACAAAUUUCACUGUAGCGCUGCCUGUUCAAAUCCCUUCAAUAAAUUCCUUUUGGUCUUCGAUGGAGUCCAGACUACUUAGCACUCCCUACAAGGUCAUGCAAGGUCUGGCCCCAUUCACCUCCCUAGCUUCAUCUCAAGCUCCUCUCCUUGCAGGUGAAAAUUCAAUGGCUCUGGAUAUAUCUGGAUAUAUUUAAGUAUUGGAAUGCACCUUGACCAUUCUUGCCUCCAGGGCUCGGCACAUUGUCCCUAUGUGCUGGAGAACUUGUCUGCCUGACCUCCAACCCCUCCCAUUUGUAGUCACCAAGGCUGACUCCUUGGUAACAGUAGGACUCCUUUCUCAUGAAACUUAACACACCUUAUUGGAAUCCUCUUAAUCUGUUCUGAGAUCCCCAUACCCCCUCUACUGGGAGCUACAUGAGGAAAGAUCCUGUUUCCAUUUUGUUCACUCUUGAAUGUACAACACCUAGCACAUACACUGACAUAUCAUAAGUUUUAAACACAAAGAUUCUGAAAUGGACAAAUAAAUUUGAUGGGACAAAGGCCAUUACUGACUACUAAGUGAAGCUGUAUCAGUAGAGGCCAAACUCAUAGCUGACCCCAAAGCCCCUACUCUUGGCGUCUUCAAUUUACUGUCCAUUGCUAAAGAUUCUUUUCCAAAUUCCAAAAUUUGAUUCCAAUUCAAAAAUUCAAAAAAAAUCAACAUUUAUAGAACAUGUGCUCUAUGUCCUUCCUGCACUCAGAGCCAUAAAUAACUCCAAGGACAAGACUUGCUUCUUGCCCUAAAUAUGCAUACAGUCCCAUGGAGAACCUUUCAUUUUGCCAACAUGUUGCAAUUCACAUUCUCUUUAAAUCCUUUCAGAACUGAGCUGACAAGGGAUGCUUGGUAGUCUCUUAAGCAUUUGGUAAUAGCCAGUUGACUCCUAUAGGACAACAAGGGGAUUGAGACCUGAGGCCAAAUCUUAUUCAUCAUUAUCAUCCUGGUUAGCAUAGUGUUUGGUAUAUAACAACAGGUUUAAAACUAUCACCAAAUGUGUGAAAGCAUAAACAAAUGAAUGAAGAAAUGAAACAAGUCAAGUCUUGGAAUCAAGCUUUGGAAUCGGGUCAGAGUCUCAGCAGGAAUUCUCCUCUAUCACUAAACAGAUAAAUGACUUAGUGACAAGUCCCUGUAGGGAAGAACCAGCCCAUUUCACACACACAAACUGGCCAGACUUCAGCUAGCAGAGCAUGGGGUCAGGGAAAAGAGGAGCAGGAUAGGGGUUUCAGUGACUUUCAAUUGUUCCAUCACUGGACAGGUUCUCUCCUCUGUCCUCAGGUUUAGAGGGGAGACACGGGGGCAGUCACACCCAUGGAAGAGUAUUGAUGGCUUCACCUGCUCACUGAGGCAAAUCAGAGAGGUAGGCCAAAAGACAAAGAGGAAAAUAGAUCAAGAUAGUGUUCACCACACAUUUUCAUUACCUAGUAGGAAAACCCUUCAGUGACAUCUUAUUUAAGAUGUACAUUGAUAAUCAGUGCCAUGAAUAAAUAUCUAACUGAAACAAAGAUAUUUGCUAGUUUCUAUACCUUUCAAAAUUAGAACAAAAAUCUGAACAGAAACAGCUAUCAAACAGCAUCCUGCACACACACACACACACACACACACACACACACACACACUCCUGAAAUUUCCCCCUGCUGGCAACUUGUUAGUUAUUUGAAUAAACAUUAUUUCUGCCACAUGCUUUAGCACCAAAUAGUACCUUGUAGUCAGUUAAAAAACCUUUAUCAAAGUUAGACUAUGGUAUUAUUUUGACACCAGACAGUCCUUUGCUUUUGUGUAGAAUCACAGUGUUGCCUGAACAGUGUACAAUUACGCUUUUGUGCAGACAAUCAGUGGGUCAUUAGCGUACCGUACAAAUCACCUUGGACUCAGGAUGGAACCCUGGGGACCUGGAGCCGCAAUAGACUGGAGAGAAGACAUGGUGUUGCUGACAGUUACCUCUGAUGGCAGUUAGAAAGCUGUUGCUGCUAUUGUUUAAGUUGUAUUGAGUCCUGGCAAUGAGCAGGAUGCUGUGUACAACAGUCAGGAUCCCCACAUCUCUGGCCUGUCAGCUAAUACAGGAAGAUACACCCGCCAUGAGCUUUAGUCGCAGCUCUACAUAAAUAGGAGAAAUACUGACUGACCAACACCAAGGAGAAGCAUAAUAAAGUACUGGGAAUAUUCUGGAAACUUCCUGAAGAAACAGUAGAUGCAAUAAAGGAAGAAAAAGUCAACACUGCCUUUGUAUCCAAUGGCCCCUCGCUCUUAAAUCCAAUACCUUGAUUGCUUUCUGGUUAAAUCUGACUUCCAACUUGAGAAAAAGAACAGUGACUUAAGAAGUCCCUUUGUGCAUGUGAAUCAUAACCCCUGGAAUUAGGACAGAGGUAAGAGUAAUACUAUUUCCAACAAGCAGAGAUGGGAACUGCUGUCGGUCACUCUGAUAUGCUGUGUAGAAACCAACUUGGGCUGUCAUGCCAUGCAUACAUGGUAGAAUACUUCAUUUAUAACUACUCUCAUGGAGGUAGGGUCAGAUUGCUAAAUCUGAAUAAUUUAAAUUCAGAGUACUUCUUCAGUAUUCUUUCUUUAUAAUUGAAGGUUUUUAAAGGGCAAGAUUUGCUUAGAACCAUGGUUAAAAUAGUAGAGUAAAACUACAGUGAUCUAAAAUGAUCUAAUUUUCUAGAAAAUUACUACUUUCUACAAGCUGCAUAAACUUUAAUUAAAAAGACAAGGAGGCCUAUUCUCUCCUCUCCUUACACACAUACGACAUACUAGGCCCUUGGGAUUCUGGUGAAAGGAAAAGAGCAGAUUGAAGAAAUUAGAAUUUUUAGCAAAACUAAAGCUAAUUAAGAUGUAAUGCUUGUUUCCAUCAUUAAGGACCAACAAGUAUCAAACAUUGUUGCUUUUCUAGAGAGAAAAUAUGUUUUACUUGAAAAUAUGUGUAAAGUUAGUUUAUAAAAUAAACUGUAGAGGCAGGUUAAGUCACAAGUAACAACACACAAAUCACCUCAUAGGAACAUGACAAUAACGUUCUGCAGUUAAAUAUCACCAAGAUGAGGAUUCCUAAGAGGCUUAACACUGUGCUUUAUGUAUCUAUAUCCGAUAAAAUAUCCCCAGCAUCCUAUUAAAAAUAUUUUGGUAGUUUCCACUACAAAUUCUCCAGAAGCUGAUCUUACUGGUAGCAUAUUUAGAGGAAUGGAUCAAGGAAAAGGGAGGCCACUAAGGUGAGAACAGACACUGAGUUUGAAAUAACCUCAGCAAUUCACAGGAUAGGAUCUAUGGCCACAAAAGGUUUCUCAGCCUAAGUAAUCACUCAGGGUUUUUUUUUUUUUCCUUCACCUGCUUUCUCUCUUUGCUUUCUUCCUUCCUGAUCGCUCUCUUUCCGUGGUAGUCCACCUUCCAAGCUGUUCCCAAACUGACUGUCUAAAAUCACCUUAAAAGGACAUAUUUGAUGCAAAGCAGCUUAGUGCACUCUGUCCUAUGUGUAGAAGAAGCAUUUGGGUAGCCUCCGUGUCAGUGUGAAUUGGGCUGCCAUGGAGGCUGGCCCACCGAGAUUAAAUGAAAAUCAACUCUAAUAGGGAUGAUGUAAAACAGAAUAGCAUUUUUUAAAAACACAUUCAGGUAUCUGCAGGUAUUCCUCCCAUUCAACAAGUUCUGAAAAAAGCUGGACAGCAGCUACAGCUUCAUAAGCAGCUUCUUGCUAUAUGAUGUUGAUGCGCUGACAAAAAAUUGAGAAAUGAGGGGAAGGAUGUGCACAUAGCACAAAUGUUUAUGAUUAUGUACACAUCACUCGUGUUGCGUACGUAGCUCAGCUAUACUAACUAUACUAACUGAUUAACUGUAUUUAUAUAUAUGGGAGGUGGUUUGAAAAGCACUAGAAUGUGUGUGUGCAUAUGCAAGCAGAGUGAAAUACUGUAUUGUGUGUAUAAAUAUCAGGUAGUAUAAAAUAAAAACCCUAUAGUUGUUUGUUUAGGGACACAUUUGGAUUGAGUGAGCACUAUAACAAUCAUUUCUUUCAAAGCCACAAAAACAUCAUACUUUUUUAGUUUUAAUAAAGUCUAGUUUUUGGCAGUUCUUUUAUCACAUCUGUCAUCCCCUAAGCUUUGCUUAGCCAAAGCACUCAGACUCAAAUUUUGAAAUUGUCAAUAUAGUCCUUCUAAUAUUUAAGUCUUAAAUUAUCUAAGCAGAUUAACUACUCUUAUUCUAUGCCUACAGGAUGCAGGGGUAAAGAAAGGCAGAGGAAAUAAUAACUUUUUUUCAGGCAAUUAAGUUCCUGUGGAGGUUGUGUUUGGGGCAUGCAUUUGGAAAGUGGUCCAAUGUAUUUAUGUAGAUAACCAGGUAGACAAGAGGAGUACAUACACUCCAGUAUCUAGAUCUGUAAGACAAAAAAAAUGGCUCCAUCUAAGAUGCUUAAUCCUUGAGCUUUUAAAUAAAAAGUUAUAGUUCACACUGACACUUUCCAGUUUGCCAACUAGCAGUGGAUGUCCUGAAGCCAAGAAAGAUAUCUUAUAGAAACACACACACACAAAGGAAAGAAAAAAGAAAGGGAGAGAGAAAGGGGAGGGGGCUCCUUUUCACAGCAGUGCCUAUCUGUGUGGUGACCUCAUUUUUGCUACGAUCUCCCUUUGGAGAUCAAAGCAGGAUUAAUGUGAUUCUUUACUGUUUGCCCUGCACAUCUCAGAGCUCUGGAGACUUCGGAAAUAAGUGGAGAUGCAGCCCUGGAACACAGGGGAAACAGAAUAGGAAUGUGGUGGGUGAACAGUCCAAAGGAUAACUAUGAAAAGUUAUUUGGGAUUUGGGAAGCAAUGCAGAAUUUAAAGUCCUUUGCAUUUUUAAACACCUCUGCUUUCUCUUUUCUCAUUUUCUGGGGCAAGGCUUUUGGCUAAUUGAUGAGGCCAGCACUAAAUGUCAUAUUAAUAAGUCUCCACAAUGACCUUCUAGCUCAUUGGGAAUGUUUUGCAGCUGCUUGUACACAUAAUAAGAGAAUGGAACCCUGCAUGUUUUCACACUAAAGUCCUUUCGCGUUACAACCAGGCAUGUAUGCAGAGGAUUUAAAAGAAGGGAAAAUCUUCCAAAAUAUCAAAAUGAGCUUUUGUAUUUCCACCGCGUGUCACAUUCCUGGAUGCCGGAACCCCUAAAGAGUGUUUCUGCAGCCUUUCAGAGGUGCUCGUUGUUUUCUUGAGAAAAAAAGGCCAGUCUUCUAUUCCUGGGAUCUCCGAAGGUGAAGGAAAAAUCACUCUCGUUUUUAAUGCUUAAUGUAUACACCUCUUGGAGGGGUAGAGAAAGCCCCCCUCUGCCAAACCUGUCUGUGAUUUCAGCUGCAUUACCUAGAAGAGGGCGCUGCAGUUUUUAGGGACUCGGUACAGCAGGGGAGAACCGGAUUGCGGGGGUAGGGGCGGAGGUUCUCUUCAGUCAGGGAUGUGACCCCACGGUCUCCACUCUUGGUUUACGUAAUUCCACCCCAAACUCACCUUCUCCGCAACUCUGCACGCCUAGCCACACAAAGACACUCGCACAACAAGAAGUCCCCAACUCCAACAGCCCAUUCACUACUAAGCUAAGCCCUGGUUUUUCCUGCGAGCACCUUCGUCUUGUUCGCGCUUCCAAGUUCCUUUAGGUUAGUGCUCGAAGACCAUUUUUUCCCCCUUUCACCAAGUCUCUCCAAACCCAGCUGGAGGCUACGUGGCCAAAGCCCAAGAAGUGGCGCAAGAAGAAGACACCUCAUGACACGCUGGGGAUAAAGGUCUAGAUAGGACCCAAAGGCGGGGAUCCAGGGGCCUUCCCACGCGUAUCCCCGCCCUGACACCCAUGGAGGUUCCACCUCCUUUUGCGUAACGUCCAAUGCGCCUGUCCCCUGCGGAGCGGCGGGGAGCUUGGAGUCAGGCUGUCUCCAGGGCCAGGAGUGCGAGGCCAGGGGUCUCCUCUGCUGCAGUCCUCGCAGCCCCGCCCGAGAGCUCAAACUUUCGCUUCUGCGUCCUAGCGGCGCCGGACUCCCGCUGCCUGCCCCGAGCUCCCACCUGGAGAGGGAAUUCAACAAGGAACCCGGUGAAUUGCCUCAACUGGAUAAGCAGCCCGCUGGUGAAGCUUUUUGUCCGGAAUACAAUUCCCAGGGCCAAGAUAAGGGAGGAGGAAUCUCUCUCAGUGCCUAAACACGCUACGCUCACCUCCAGUUGUUUUAAUCACAACAAACACUAGCAAACUGGACUGUCCUUGCUUUAUUUAGCUACAGCUGGCGGUGUUGAUAAUUGUUUUCUCAUUAUCAUGCUAAUUUGUUAACAAGGAAAUUUUCCGUUGAACAGGGAUUAUUCCGGAAUCGGUAACUAGGAAUCUUGGCUGGCUGAGGGACUCAGCCCGAAAAUUCUGUUGGAAAAGCUCCCAACAUCAGUAUCAGCCCACCCACCCUCCCCCUCUCAUUCCCUAUUUUUACACUAUUAUUCUUUCUGCAGCCCUGGUUUGCACAGCGGUGGCCUAUCACUCGGAAACCAUCCUGUAGCGAAAAAGGAUAGUAGUUAGAGACCCACAAUUCAUUUUAAAAAUGUUAAGUUUUAAAAUAUUGCAGGGUGUUUUUUCCCGAAGUUUAAAGGACCACCUGAAAACUCAAGUACAAUUAGUCGCUGUAUUUUAAAGGACUUUAUAUUGCUGAAAAAUUUCUAACCGUCGGUGUCUGACUUUGCAAAAUAUAGGAGUUAGAAUUUAGUAAAAGUUACUUACUAAAGCGCAGUGGGAGCCCUGUAAGUUUUACAGUUUCUGCCAAGACAUUGCUAAUAUGUAUGUAUGUAUUCUCAUGGGUUGUAUUUUUUUAAGCUCUCAUUUUUAAAACUUCAUGUUUUGGGCAUGAUUCCUUAAGUUCCUAUUAAUAUGUGAUCUUUUUAAUCCAGCAGAAAAUCGAAAUUCUAAGGAAGGGAAGUGCAGGCUUCAGCCUCUCUUCACAUCGUUACAAGUAAGGUUUACCAACUCUUUUGACUUGUAUUUGCUAACUUAGAAAACUUUAAAGGUAAAUUUGGAAAAUUAACUUGAAAGAAGCACAUAACAAAGGGUGACUUUCAUCAGUUUUUUUUUUUGGAGGGGAGGGUGUUUAAAUCAGUUAAGACCCACAGAGUAAUAAAAUUACAUAGCAUUCUGAAAUAUAUAAUAUGGGGAGGGCUUUAAAAAAUAAUCCCAUCUAACAAUCCUUGCAUAUACACAACUAGCAAGAAGUCCGCAACUACCAACAGCCAGCAUUGCUUGCAAAUUGUAUUCGAUUGAAACUCUGCUGAAGAGUUGAUCUUUCAUUGUAUUUUGGAAUUGUGUGAAGGUAUGUAUGUACGGGAUCUAUGUAUGUAUAGUUCUUAUACUUUAUAUAUGUUUAGACAUGCAUCCCUUUUAAAUGUUUACGUGGUUAGUCACUUUAAGAACAUCAAAAUAAAUUAUACGUUGGCUCACACUAUCUCCCAGGUAUUCCUAAACACUGAUGAACAAAAAUCUUUAUAUCGGAAAUGAAGAGUACCCAUUUAAAGGAAAGAAUGGAAAGGGGAACUCGAUUUAUUCUCAUUUGUUUAUCGCUAGACGUUCCCCCCACCUCUCCACAAAUUCAUUUGAAUAGCUUUCAAGCCGGAAAAUGGAAAUGUGGCUCCUGCCCUCUAUUUCAGCGGCAGCAGCAGCGUCCUGGCAACAGCGCAAUUUUCUAUCAUCAAGGAUAAAUGGCAUCGAACAGAACAUUCUGAUAAAAAAAAAAAAAAAGAAAGAAAGAAAGAAAGAAAGAAAAAAAAGCUUCAGCCCAAGGAGCCCAUGAUUGCUGGCCUUCCUGUCUGUCAUCCCUUUACAAAAUCCUCUCCGCAAACCUGAGCGGCAUGCUGUCAGAGCUAAUAACGUCUUCUGGGGGGGG